rnacentral:rRNA from 1 species
CGAGUUUCAUUACCGAGCUUACAGCUCCCAACCGUCUCAGAACAUAAGAAUAGGUGGCCCCGGGUCAUCACCCGGCGCCCCGAAAAACGGGACGGCCCGCCCAAGAACCCCUAACCUCUGUUUUUAAUGGAACUUCUGAGUAAAACCAAAAAAUAAUUCAAAAUUUUCAACACCGAAUCUCUGGGUUCGGGCUUCAAUAAAAACGCACCAAAAGGCAAUAAUUAUGGUGAUUUGCAAUUUCAUGGAUUCUUCGAUUCUUUGACCGCACUUGGGGCCCGCCAGAAUUCGGGCGGGUGGCCGGUUCAAGGGUCUUUUCAACCUUCAAGCUCAGCUGGUGGUUGGAAUUCCGGGUAACCCGCGUUCCCCAAAUCGAUUGGCGGUCACGCAAGCUUCCAUAAAGAAAAAAUCAUACACCUCGUUACUGGAAUCGUCGCGGCCACCCCUAAAACCCCAAUUUUAGAAUGUUGACCUCGGAUCAGGGAAAAAUACCCGCUGAAAUUUACCAUAUCCACCCUUA